AUUGAACGCUGGCGGCAGGCCUAACACAUGCAAGUCGAGCGAGCGGCGGACGGGGGAGUAAUGUAUGGGGACUGCCCGAUAGAGGGGGAUAACUACUGGAAACGGUAGCUAAUACCGCUUACUAUCGGAUAACCCAUAUGGGAUUAGCUAGUAGGUGAGGUAAUGGCUCACCUAGGCUACGAUCCCUAGCUGGUCUGAGAGUAUGAUCAGCCACCUUGGGACGGAGACACGGCCCAGCCUCCUACGGAGGCAGCAGUGGGGAAUUUUGCACAAUGGGCGCAAGCCUGAUGCAGCCAUGCCGCGUGUAUGAAGAAGGCCCUAGGGUUGUAAAGUACUUUCAGUCGGGAGGCGUUACCGACAGAAGAAGCACCGGCUAACUCCGUGCCAGCAGCCGCGGUAAUUC
rnacentral:rRNA from 1 species